AUUGAACGCUGGCGGCAUGCUUUACACAUGCAAGUCGAACGGUAACAGGCCGCAAGGUGCUGACGAGUGGCGAACGGGUGAGUAAUGCAUCGGAACGUGCCCAGUCGUGGGGGAUAACUGCUCGAAAGAGCAGCUAAUACCGCAUACGAUCUAUGGAUGAAAGCGGGGGACCGUAAGGCCUCGCGCGAUUGGAGCGGCCGAUGUCAGAUUAGGUAGUUGGUGGGGUAAAGGCUCACCAAGCCAACGAUCUGUAGCUGGUCUGAGAGGACGACCAGCCACACUGGGACUGAGACACGGCCCAGACUCCUACGGGAGGCAGCAGUGGGGAAUUUUGGACAAUGGGCGCAAGCCUGAUCCAGCCAUGCCGCGUGCAGGAAGAAGGCCUUCGGGUUGUAAACUGCUUUUGUACGGAACGAAACGGUCUGGGUUAAUACCCUGGGCUAAUGACGGUACCGUAAGAAUAAGCACCGGCUAACUACAUGCCAGCCGCCGCGGUAAGAC
rnacentral:rRNA from 1 species